rnacentral:ncRNA from 1 species
AUGGCGGUGGAGUGCACCUUCAGAAAGCAGUGUAGGAUAGGUGCGAGGUGGUGACACGCAACGACCAAUCCUAAAAGACCACUCUUUCAUCUAAGGAUGCCUAAUCGCCGCACCGAUCAUUCACACGUGGGCCAGGGGUGGGGGGAUACUGCAUGAUGGGUAGUUUAUAUGGGACGAUGCCUCCUAAAGAGAACAGAGGAGUGCGAAGAUAGGCUCAAUCGUUGAUUCUGCUCGUGAGCGUAAUGGUAUAAGUCUGCCGACUGUGAGACCGACUGGUCGAACAUAGACGAGAGUCGACCAUAGUGACCUGGGAGUCACGUGUGGAAGGGCUCUCGCUCAACACAU